AUGGCAACUCAGAACAUUCCAGUGGAGCCGGCUUGUUUUUGUUAGCAAAAUAUUUCACGGAAUUCCGACCAAAUUUGCAUGAGUUUUUUGACAGAGUCAAUGUAUGCACGUGACAAAAUAAUUGAACUACAAAAUGACUAAUUAGUAACACAGGUGAAUUUUGUCAGGGAGUAGCAUAAAUGUAGAAAUGGGUGGGGAAACCGGCGCACAAGGUCAAUCCGCAUCUGUCAAACCAUCAGCUGUCACGCGACGUUUAACUACCCCAUCCAGCAAUAUGCAGCGCUUGACCCAGCUAACUAAUGAGCUAAAUAUGUUUUUUUAACAGCUUGCAACCACUCUGCUAUGAGUCACGCAAGCUACAUCGACCUCGGGCACGCCUCUCCAUGCCACAGUGUCCGUGUGAGCCACAGCCACACCCUGGGGGGUCAGUGGGGUGCUGGGGACCAUUCUGGCAGAGGACCAGCCAACCAGCAGGGAAGGCAGUUUGUAGACUCAGAUGUGGUUCUGGUGUAGGGAAGUCCAACAGAAUCCUCAUAACACCAGGAGGAUGGAUCUCAUUGAACCAGCCAGAGUUAUAUGGAGAGCGGAGAAAUUUGCGCUAACACACAGCUUAUCCCGGAGGCUUUAAUUGGCACAUGAACCAUGAAGGGACCCCCACUGACUCUCACAGCACUUAGACAGGCUGGAUUUAGCAUUUUGAUUGCUGGUGUUGACGUUGAACUGACAGAAAGUAGACGUUGCUCAAUCAUAGAUAACAGAGGGAAACAUGCCCUGGAAGAGUGUUACUUGUCAUUGCCAUGUUGGAUUGAGCGUUUGAGGGUUCCAUCUUUCAGACUGCUGGGCUCAGAGGCGGCCUCUGUCAGGGUAUUGAUUGGCUCUGGAGGCUGAGGUCAGGUCAUGUGUCACUAGGGCAUCUUUGUCUGUAGCUGGUAGGCUUGGUCUGGUGUGAGGAGGAAGUCAUUACAGUACAUUUCAAACACAUCCAUUAACCCCCCCCCCACACAAUGAUUUCACAGAUUCAAACUUUUCACAUGAUUUUUGAGAAAUGCUAUAUUUAAAAAUACAAGAUUAGUGUUUGUUUCAAAAUGUAUUUCCUAUCCACACAGUGUAGGAUUGGCGACUCUCUCUGACAUCAAUGAGACUACAGCGUUUGCUACAGUACAUCAUUAAUUUAUCUCCUCAUACAAGUAUUUGGGAGUAUGGCUAGACGGUACACUGUCCUUCUCUCAGCACAUAUCGAAGCUGCAGGCUAGAGUUAAAUCUAGACUUGGUUUCCUCGUAAUCGCUCCUC